CACAUUCGCUAGGGGUGUUGCGGUCUGGCUAUUCAGACCGCGACUGAGACAGUCCCUUUGAACCUGAUUGAGGUAAUGCUCACGCAGGGAAGCAGGCCCGACAGGCA
rnacentral:ncRNA from 2 species